UAACGAUCGAUCUUUGGAGAGUAUAGUCCACUUUAUAAUCACCUUACCGAACAGGUAUUCAACAUAAACCAAAAGGUGUAUCGAGUCUUAGAGCGCGGUCUUACAUAGGAUCAGAGUCUUCGUUGGAGGAUGAUGGUAAAAUACAUUCCAACCAAUCAUGGUCAGUUGAUCAUAGCGUCUCUGCUGGUCUUCGAUACAAUCGUUGUUUAUACCAGUAUGGACAUGGCGCACUUCAUUGGAUUACCCGGGUGUAGCCUCCAAGUGGUAUAUCCCAUCGACCCCUUCCAGUCCACUACUACACGAACGCCGUCGAGUGCGCAAUGAUAUGCGCACGUACAUACGGGUGCUUCUCUGUCAACGCGUGCAAGAGGGAUGACGGUGCAGUGACGUGCGACAUUCUUGGCGACGUGUCCAGCUCAGGAUGUAGUGGGAUGACUUCAAAGAACGGAUGUAGACAUUUACAACGCAAAGAUGCUUUGAGAGCCUUGAAUCCAUGUAAAA